UACUGUGUCCAAUCCUGAAAUACUGUGUCCAGUUCUGGGGUCUACAAUUCAAGAGGGAUGUUGAUAAAUUGGAGAGGGUUCAGAGAAGAGCCAUGAGAUCGAAUGAGGGAUUAGGAAACAUGCCUUCUAGUGAUACACUCAAGGAGCAAACUCUGUUUAGCUUAACAAAGAGAAAGUUAAGUGAUGACUUGAUUAUAGUCUACAAGUUGCCACCUGGGGAACAAAAUAUUUAAUAAUGGGCUCUUCAGUCUAGCAGAGAAAGGUAUACCAGGAUCCAGUGGGUGGAAGCUGAAGCUAGACAAAUUCAGGCUGGAAAUAAGUUAUACAUUUUUAAUGGUGAGAGUAAUUAAUUUACCAAGCAAAGGUUGUGAUGAAUUCUCCAUCAUUGACAUUUUUUAAACCAAGCGUGGAUGUUUUUCUAAAAGAUGUGCUCUAGGAAUUAUUUGAGGGCAGUUCUGUCACCCAUGUUAUACAGGAGGUUAGACUAAUUUGAUCACAGUGGUCCCUUCUCUGAACGUAUGAAUCUCUCGAUGCACAUGGUGGCUCAUCAAGAAGGGAGAUUGUGAUGCAUCCUGAGAGAUGUAGUCUUGCCAGAGAGCCUGACCCACAGAGGAGAAUGGGGACUACAAUGUGCCCAAACUUUAACUCUCAUGAGAUACUUCUGAACAGACUUUUUUCAUUUUUUUUUGCUGAAAACUUGAAAUUUUCCAUACUCCACACCAUUUUCUGAUCUGCUCUAGCAAUAAGCUCUAGCUGACACAGACUUGUAUUUUUUUUAGAAGGGGACAAACAUUGGGUAUAAGUCUGAGAGUGAUAGGACUGUCGUCAGACUUUUUACCUACAGUCCCAGAAUAUUUGUAUGUUUCUGCCAAAAUGAUCAGCAGUGACAUAGUCAACAAUACAAGCCAUCAUCAUUAGGCUUCAGAAUUAACACCUGUUGAAACGAAUGUGGACAGUUCAGACUCAAAACUAUUGUAGUCUAAUUGUGAGAAUGUACAUUAUUUACCAAAUUGCCUGGAUUUGGGUACUUUUCAAAUAAUACAUUUUUAUUCUGUUAGACAAAAUAAUAAACCUUUCAGAAUCUUUAAUUUUUGUGCACCAAUUUCUGAUGUGAGAGAUGACUGUAGUGCCAUUGAAUGAGCUGUUGGGUGCAGGAUUGAGCCCAAAAGGCCUCCACAAAAGAUGAAUAAAUCAGCAUUUUCACUAUAUGAUCGAAUUUGUAUAGUAUGUAUUAGGAUGACCAGACAGCAAAUGUGAAAAAUCAGGAGAGGGGGUGGGGAGGUAAUAGGAGCCUAUA